CCGGCGGGAGCGGACGUGGAUAGAGUCGAUUCGGCAGUACAUGUACAAUUCCGAAACUUUUCAUAUGCUUGUGUCGUGAUUAAUCUGUGUUGUGAAGUUUGAAAGUGAAAAUUGGUAUUUAGUGCGCGUUGCCAAUAAUUUCGGUUGAAAAUAAACGUAAUACAUAUUUUAGUUGUACGCUAACCGGCGCUUCGCUGGUUAGAGUAACGCUUCCUAUGUACUAGACAUUGAUCCGCUCAGCUUUUUGGAUUUAACAACAGGAGGCUGCGCAGUUUCCGCAUUUUCAAUAUAUCGCGGUUUGCUGUGGAUUUAUUGUCGAAUAUUUCAAAUUCACUACAAUCGGAGGCAAUUGUCGCUGUACACCGCCGGUUUAGAAUCCCUCGUAAAUUUUGUACACAACGAGAUGGUACGUCCGUAUAUGUUUAUGAUGCUAUAUAGAUGCUAUACGGAUAUGCGUGAUAUCUCUUUUUUGUUUUUUUUUGUCUACAAGUUAACCCUUGACUACAAUCUACC
rnacentral:lncRNA from 1 species